AGCAAGUCGCCUUGGCUAACC
rnacentral:miRNA from 1 species